rnacentral:lncRNA from 1 species
AUUCAAAAGAUAUUAUGAUGGAAUACAUUAGUUGUAAAUAAGGAAGAAUUUUAUUGAUAAUGAAAGGAUGCUACAGAUUUUGACCUAAUCUAAUCAUAGUUGGAUAAUUUUUGUCAGUAGAUUGCUUCAUUGUAGAUAAUGCCAAGAAAUCCUAAAUUUCUCAAGUUUAUUAUUAACAGCUUGAUAGUUCUGUUAUUAGUUUAAACCUAAAAUAUCUUGACAC